rnacentral:rRNA from 1 species
AGUGAACGCUGGCGGUAGGCCUAACACAUGCAAGUCGAACGGCAGCACAGUAAGAUCUUGCUCUUACGGGUGGCGAGUGGCGGACGGGUGAGGAAUACAUCGUAAUCUACUUUUUCGUGGGGGAUAACGUAGGGAAACUUACGCUAAUACCGCAUACGACCUACGGGUGAAAGCAUGGGAUCUUCGGACCUUUCGCUAUUGAAUGAGCCGAUGUCGGAUUAUCUAGUUGGCGGGGUAAGGGCCCACCAAGGGGACGAUCCGUAGCUGGGCUGAGAGGAUGAUCAGCGACACUGGAACUGAGAAACGGUCCAGACUCCUACGGGAGGCAGAAGUGGGGAAUAUUGGACAAAGGGCGCAAGCCUGAUCCAGCCAUACCGCGUGGGUGAAGAAGGCCUUCGGGUUGUAAAGCCCUUUUGUUGGGAAAGAAAAGCAGCAGGUUAAUACCCCGCUGUUCUGACGGUACCCAAAGAAUAAGCACCGGCUAACUUCGU